AUAGGUAUACCAUUGAAAUGCCUGAAAUUACGACAAGCUGAUGUGUGUUUUACAACAAAUCAUUCAAAGUUAGUUGUUUUCUGAAGAUCGUCCAUCUCAUUAAUACCAUUCUAAGAAGAAGGAACCAGGACGGAAGUUAGAAAUAUAAGUAGUUCAACUACACAAAGUUGAUGAUUUGAAUACGGAGAGAAUCGAUUAACAUCAUCCAAAACAGGAAGUUCUUACAGUAGCUUCAUUUAUGGAAGGCUUGAUAUUCUGACUGAGAAAGGUGGAAGCAUAAUAAACACCUUUUAUUACUGUUUUUAA
rnacentral:misc_RNA from 1 species